GCGCCGGUGGUGUAAUAGCGUAGAGCAUUCCCGCCCGGCAGAGGGAGGUGCGGGUUCGAGUCCCGCCUGGCGCC
rnacentral:tRNA from 1 species